rnacentral:rRNA from 1 species
UACGGAGGGUGCAAGCGUUGUCCGGAUUUAUUGGGCUUAAAGGGUGCGUAGGCGGGGUUUCAAGUCUGGUUUGAAAGUUAGCUGCUCAACAGUUAGACGUGGCUGGAGACUGGAAUUCUGGAAUGGGUUAGCGGCUGCCGGAACGGGUCAUGUAGCGGUGAAAUGCAUAGAUAUGACCCAGAACACCGAUUGCGAAGGCAGGCAGCUACGACCUGAUUGACACUGAGGCACGAGAGCGUGGGUAGCGAACAGG